rnacentral:rRNA from 1 species
GACAAACGCUGGCGGCGUGCAUAAAACAUGCAAGUCGAACGGUCGGUUCGCCGGCCGUGGGCAGACGGCUGAGUAACGCGUAGGAACCUACCCGGUGUGGGGACAAGCCAUCGAAAGUGGUCUAAUACCGCAUACGGUCCCGGCGCGAGUCGGGAAGAAAGCCGCAAGGUGCACUGGGAGGGGCCUGCGUCCGAUUAGCUGGUUGGUGGGGUACCGGCCUACCAAGGCGACGAUCGGUAGCUGGUCUGAGAGGAUGACCAGCCAGACUGGGACUGGGACACGGCCCAGACUCCUACGGGAGG